GACGAACGCCUGGCGGCGUGCUUAACACAUGCAAGUCGAGCGGGCGUCCUUUUCGGAGAGGCGUUAGCGGCGAACGGGUGAGUAACAGGUGGAUAAUCUGCCUCCUGGCGGGGGGAUAACGGCUGGAAACGGCCGCUAAUACCGCAUGUGAUUGCCGGGUCCAUGCCCGGCAAAGAAAGGCGCUUCACGGCGUCACCAGGAGAUGAGUCCGCCCCCCAUUAGCUAGUUGGCGGGAUAACAGCCCACCAAGGCUUCGAUGGGUAGCCGAGCUGAGAGGUUGAUCGGCCACACUGGAACUGAGACACGGUCCAGACUCCUACGGGAGGCAGCAGUGGGGAAUUUUGGACAAUGGGGGCAACCCUGAUCCAGCCAUGCCGCGUGAGUGAAGAAGGCCUUCGGGUUGUAAAGCUCUUUCGGCCGGGAAGAAAUCGUAUGGGUUAAUACCCUGUGCGGAUGACGGUACCGGCAUAAGAAGCACCGGCUAACUACGUG
rnacentral:rRNA from 1 species